UCUUAUGUACAUGUCUAUAGUGUUAAUGCACUGGAUCCCAUCAUAACUUCCCAGUUAAGUAUGCUUGGACUAGAGUAGUACUUGGAUGGGUGACCUCCCAGGAAUUCCUAGUGUUUUACAUGCC
rfam:Picea glauca, whole genome shotgun sequence.